AGGAAGGACGCUCACCUUUGCAAUCCAUGAAAAGAUCUCAUAAUUUGCUCCACCUUGCACAACAGAAGCACUUAGCACCGCAGGAAGAGAAUAUUAGUCAGAAGGCUAGUUAGUGUUGCUGAUGAUCACAUCAAAACUCUCCAACAGAUAUCUCCAUCAUCAUCCAGCUAUAUUUACCAGGCCAAAACCUAGGUUGCUUGUUACCAAAAACUCCCACUAGAAAGCAAUAUCUUCCAAUUAAGGAGAAACACUAACAAGGCAGUGAAACCACACUAGAUGAUGAUGAUGAUGAUGAUGAUAUUGUGAUAGUUAUAGUGCAU
rnacentral:misc_RNA from 1 species